rnacentral:RNase_P_RNA from 1 species
AUUGCAGGCCUUCUUAUCGCUCCGCUUCAGCGGAGAGGAAAGUCCGGACACCAUAGCGCGGCAUAGCGGGUAACUCCCGUCGCUCCGAUUUAUCAGAGUAGGACCAGUGCAACAGAAAGCAAGUACAGUUCGGCUGUAGUGAAACCAGGCAAACUCUAUGCGGUGAAACGCCAUGUAAACCAACGUUUAGGACAGCGCGUCCAAGUUGGAGGGUAGGCGGAUUGAGCGUUGCAGUAAUGCAUCGCCUAGAUUAAUGAUAAGGCACGACAGAAUCCGGCUUAUGGCCUGCUUUUUAU